GCCUUCGUAGUUAAAUGGAUAUAACAGACCCCUCCUAAGGGUCAGUUACAGGUUCGAUUCCUGUCGAGGGUACCA
rnacentral:tRNA from 1 species